rnacentral:lncRNA from 1 species
ACCAGACCUGUGAAGAGGAACACCAUCUGCUCUUCCAAGGAAACUUCAGUUGCGGGAAGUCUGAUGAAUACAAAGGAGAUUUGUCGAAGUGAUUGGACCUUAUACACAAGUAGACAGAGUAAAGAGGGAAAGAGCAAGCCGGCAUCUGCCAGCUGGAGGGGCACAACGCCUGCCUACACUUUCGGGAGGAG